AGCUCAUCGAGAGGGGCAGAGGGACACGGCCCGCUGAAGCCCCGGCAACCGCCGCACGACCUCCCGGAUCCCGUCCGGACUGGUGCGGAAGUGGUGCUACAUCCGUCCCGCGCCGAGAGUCGGCCCGGGGAAGAUGAGAA
rnacentral:ncRNA from 2 species